GACGAAUGCUGGCGGCGUGCCUAAUACAUGCAAGUCGAGCGAACGGACGAGAAGCUUGCUUCUCUGAUGUUAGCGGCGGACGGGUGAGUAACACGUGGAUAACCUACCUAUAAGACUGGGAUAACUUCGGGAAACCGGAGCUAAUACCGGAUAAUAUUUUGAACCGCAUGGUUCAAAAGUGAAAGACGGUCUUGCUGUCACUUAUAGAUGGAUCCGCGCUGCAUUAGCUAGUUGGUAAGGUAACGGCUUACCAAGGCAACGAUGCAUAGCCGACCUGAGAGGGUGAUCGGCCACACUGGAACUGAGACACGGUCCAGACUCCUACGGGAGGCAGCAGUAGGGAAUCUUCCGCAAUGGGCGAAAGCCUGACGGAGCAACGCCGCGUGAGUGAUGAAGGUCUUCGGAUCGUAAAACUCUGUUAUUAGGGAAGAACAUAUGUGUAAGUAACUGUGCACAUCUUGACGGUACCUAAUCAGAAAGCCACGGCUAACUACGUGCCAGCAGCCGCGGUAAUACGUAGGUGGCAAGCGUUAUCCGGAAUUAUUGGGCGUAAAGCGCGCGUAGGCGGUUUUUUAAGUCUGAUGUGAAAGCCCACGGCUCAACCGUGGAGGGUCAUUGGAAACUGGAAAACUUGAGUGCAGAAGAGGAAAGUGGAAUUCCAUGUGUAGCGGUGAAAUGCGCAGAGAUAUGGAGGAACACCAGUGGCGAAGGCGACUUUCUGGUCUGUAACUGACGCUGAUGUGCGAAAGCGUGGGGAUCAAACAGGAUUAGAUACCCUGGUAGUCCACGCCGUAAACGAUGAGUGCUAAGUGUUAGGGGGUUUCCGCCCCUUAGUGCUGCAGCUAACGCAUUAAGCACUCCGCCUGGGGAGUACGACCGCAAGGUUGAAACUCAAAGGAAUUGACGGGGACCCGCACAAGCGGUGGAGCAUGUGGUUUAAUUCGAAGCAACGCGAAGAACCUUACCAAAUCUUGACAUCCUUUGACAACUCUAGAGAUAGAGCUUUCCCCUUCGGGGGACAAGGUGACAGGUGGUGCAUGGUUGUCGUCAGCUCGUGUCGUGAGAUGUUGGGUUAAGUCCCGCAACGAGCGCAACCCUUAAGCUUAGUUGCCAUCAUUAAGUUGGGCACUCUAAGUUGACUGCCGGUGACAAACCGGAGGAAGGUGGGGAUGACGUCAAAUCAUCAUGCCCCUUAUGAUUUGGGCUACACACGUGCUACAAUGGACAAUACAAAGGGCAGCGAAACCGCGAGGUCAAGCAAAUCCCAUAAAGUUGUUCUCAGUUCGGAUUGUAGUCUGCAACUCGACUACAUGAAGCUGGAAUCGCUAGUAAUCGUAGAUCAGCAUGCUACGGUGAAUACGUUCCCGGGUCU
rnacentral:rRNA from 1 species